rnacentral:sRNA from 1 species
CAAAGGAUGCAAGGUGUUGUAAACCGACUGUCCAAGUUACUGAAACCUGGGGGAAUGCUGUUAUUUCGAGACUAUGGAAGAUAUGAUAAGACUCAGCUUCGUUUUAAAAAGGGUAAUAGUAUAUUCAGUUUGAGGUUAUUUUUAAAUGUUCUAAAGAAUGCCUUGUUUAUAUUUCACAUCAGAGUAUUUAGUUGUUUUUUUUUUUAAGGAAUACCCUUAAAAGUUUCUCUUUUCACAAUUUUUUUCAGGACAUUGUUUAUCUGAAAAUUUUUAUGUUCGAGGAGAUGGUACCAGAGCAUAUUUCUUUACAAAAGGGGAAGUCCACAGUAUGUUCUGCAAAGCCAGUUUAGAUGAAAAGCAAAAUCUGGUUGAUCGCCGCUUACAAGUUAAUAGGAAAAAACAAGUGAAAAUGCACCGAGUGUGGAUUCAAGGCAAAUUCCAGAAACCAUUGCACCAGACUCAGAAUAGCUCCGAUAUGGUAUCUACACUCCUUUCACAAGACUGAACUUUGUAACAUGUUAAGGUACAAAGCCAGAGGACUGUGCUAUUCAAGGACUACUGUAAGUCUAUCGUUUC